GUUCCACCCGUCCUCCUCUUUGCUUUGCUCCUCUUCCAGGACGGUUAAGGCCUUUGUCUGCCUUGUCAGGUCAACGUGAGAUCUCCUGGAGCCGCACCACGCGGUCAUGGAGAGUCCUAGUCUGCCAGGCUCCACUGUGUAGUGGCCAAGCUUUGGAGCCUCCACUCACCUUCUUGGGCCCUUGAAGCCCCUACCGGCCUCUGUGGCAUUCAGGAGGCCGCCAGUCUCGCUUGCCUCCCCUCCCCUCGCCAGUCCUGCACUGCUCAAAGGUGCCAGGUCCUCAGUGCUUCUGGUGGACUGCGGCUAGUCAAAAGGGACCCCACCCUACUCGCUGGCCCAGCCCCAGAGGGCCCGGGGAAGCAGAUCUCACUGAGUACCUUACAUCACGCUCUGUGCCAGAAUUGGCAGUCUAUAUACUUUUUGUGAAAAUAAGACAGAAUGAUGUAGUUCAGGUCAGAGGAAGGGAAAACUCAUGCUGCUGACAGGUUGACAAAGAUGAAGCCAGGUGACUUGGACAAGGAGUCAGAAAACAAAUAAACGCUAUGGAGGAUGUUGGUGAAUCACAGUCAGCUGUAAUAGCCGCACAGGCUUCUGAGGUGGCUUACCCUGAUUAUGAGAAUAUUUUGGUGGUAAUUGAACAAUUAAACAAGCCAUAUGAAGAUUCUCAUAACCUAAUGAAAAUCCAAAAUGCAGGUCAUUCAUAUCAAGAAAUAAUAAAACUUAAAAAAACCAACUGUUCACAGUGUUUAUUACAUAAGAAAGAAGUUGCAAAACUGGAAAAUAACCUUUGUGUAAUAAAAGAAGAGUUAUCAGAAAUGAAAAAGGUGAAACCUAAGUUAGAGCAAAAAGAAA